UGUUCUCAGAAGACAGGUCAGUGUGUGUAGAGAGAACACGUUUGACCAGGUAGUCAGGCUUCUACUUCAUCGACCUGGACCAGUACACCAAAGAGGCAGAGGACGCCAAGUUUGGACCAAUUAUGCUGAUGCCCCACUGUAAGAACCUGGAGAUCUUUACUCGUUCUGAGGGAGGUGACGUGGCCACAAAACGUGCCUGAGACACCUUCUGGCGCCCGGGUCACCUACCGUCACCCAGGACACCUACCGUCACCCAGGACACCUUCUGGCGCCCGGGUCACCUACCGUCACCCAGGACACCUACCGUCACCCAGGACACCUUCCGGCGCCCGGGUCACCUUCCGGCACCCAGGACAACUUCCAGUGACUGGGACACCUUCCAGUGCUACUGUUGACUAGAGCCAGGGGUUCCAAAACUUUGUCACUUGGGGCCCCCUUCCAGCAUUGGGGAACAUCCCGUGGCGCGCGCGCGCACACGCCACGUCUAUUUCCAUCGUCACAAGCACUGUUCAUGACACAAACUGUUCACACCCUUCUUGUUGUUGGAGAUAAUUUAGCUGGUUUCAUGCUUAUUGUCUUGCAAUUCUAUACAUUUUGCCAUGUCUAAUGUGUAUUUAUGUGAUAUUUGAAUGACUAUGAUAUUACAAUAUCUAUGGGCUAAAAAAACAAAAUUGUUUGGGAACCACUGGUCUAGAGAACAGCCAGAGGGUGGUCAAGACAUCUGCUGCAACUUCAUCUUUAGUGUGUCAGCUCUGAUGCGCCUGGGAGCUAAAGUCCUUCCCGGUUUUGACCAUUCAGCCUGCCUUGAGCCUGCCUGCUGUUCUAUACCGUGCCACACCUCACUGGAUUCUUGACACCUGCCUGCCCUGAACUUGAGGCUGCCUGCCGUUCUGGACACUUUGCACCCUCUCUGGAUGAGGGUGCAAAGUGCUCCUGUAUUAGAAAUAAACUUUUGUUUCUUUGACACUGUUUGCAUCUGGGUCAUACCUGAAACGUGGUAUAUGGAUGCAAGGACUGACCAUCGCCCCUCCUUCAACCCCCCCAUUGGAGGAGACGACCCAAGGUUCCUCAGACCUCCUCCAAUGGGAUUUGAGAAGGAUGUGUGAAUUUAAGUAUGCUCCCUCUAAUUCUCUCUCUAUUUUUAUAUUUUCUUUUUUUCUUUCUCUCAGAGCAAAUCUGCUGUUCUGCCCCUAAACAGGCAGUUAACCCACUGUU